AUGCAAUGGAGUAGCGUUAUAUAGAUUUUAAGGUUAUAUACAUAUUUUGCUAUUAAAAUUAUCAAGACCAUUAUGUUUCGUGUUACAUUGUAUCAACGUAUAAAAAUACAAAAACAAAGAUACAAUAAGUAACACUUAAUACUUAAGACUGUUAUUAAUCACCUCUGGUUUUAUAAUAGCUUAUACGAAUAAUAAAUCCAGAAUAUAAUUUUUACAAAAAUUUGAAAAAAUCGACUCCUCAUUUAAAUCUUCAUAUUUAAGAUGAGGUCUUGUUCGUCAAAAUCAGUCAAGAAUUGUGCCUAAAUUAAUUGUUGGCAUAAACACUAUUUUCGACAUUUUUUGUGAAAAACUACUUUUUACAGCGCUCCUUGAAAUCUACCAAUUAUAGUAUAGUGUGCAACAUUAGAGCGGCGUGCAUAGUUACAUGUAGAAACCUCAUAAUACGAUAUAUAUAUAUAUGUA